UACGUAGGGACCAAGCGUUGUUCGGAUUUACUGGGCGUAAAGGGCGCGUAGGCGGCGCGGUAAGUCACUUGUGAAAUCUCUGAGCUUAACUCAGAACGGCCAAGUGAUACUGCAGUGCUAGAGUGUGGAAGGGGCAAUCGGAAUUCUUGGUGUAGCGGUGAAAUGCGUAGAUAUCAAAGAGGAACACCUGAGGUGAAGACGGGUUGCUGGGCCAACACUGACGCUGAGGCGCGGAAAGCCAGGGGAGCAAACGGG
rnacentral:rRNA from 1 species